rnacentral:rRNA from 1 species
UACAGGGGGUGCAAACGUUGCUCGGAAUCAUUGGGCGUAAAGCGCGCGUAGGCGGUUACUUAAGUCGGAUGUGAAAGCCCUCGGCUCAACUGAGGAAGUGCAUCCGAAACUGAGUAGCUUGAGUACGAAAGAGGGUCGCGGAAUUCCCGGUGUAGAGGUGAAAUUCGUAGAUAUCGGGAGGAACACCGGUGGCGAAGGCGGCGACCUGGGUCGAGACUGACGCUGAGGCGCGAAAGCGUGGGGAGCAAACAGG